CAACUUUCAACAACGGAUCUCUUGGCUCUCGCAUCGAUGAAGAACGCAGCGAAAUGCGAUAACUAAUGUGAAUUGCAGAAUUCAGUGAAUCAUCGAGUCCUUGAACGCACCUUGCGCCCUUUGGUAUUCCGAAGGGCAUGCCUGUUUGAGUGUCAUUA
rnacentral:rRNA from 1 species